UACGUAGGGCGCAAGCGUUAUCCGGAAUUAUUGGGCGUAAAGAGCUCGUAGGCGGUUUGUCGCGUCUGCCGUGAAAGUCCGGGGCUCAACUCCGGAUCUGCGGUGGGUACGGGCAGACUAGAGUGAUGUAGGGGAGACUGGAAUUCCUGGUGUAGCGGUGAAAUGCGUAGAGAUCAGGAAGAACACCGAUGGCGAAGGCAGGUCUCUGGGCAUUAACUGACGCUGAGGAGCGAAAGCAUGGGGAGCGAACAGG
rnacentral:rRNA from 1 species